rnacentral:rRNA from 1 species
UACGUAGGUGGCAAGCGUUAUCCGGAAUUAUUGGGUGUAAAGAGCGCGCAGGUGGUUAAUUAAGUCUGAUGUGAAAGCCCACGGCUUAACCGUGGAGGGUCAUUGGAAACUGGUUGACUUGAGUGCAGAAGAGGGAAGUGGAAUUCCAUGUGUAGCGGUGAAAUGCGUAGAGAUAUGGAGGAACACCAGUGGCGAAGGCGGCUUCCUGGUCUGCAACUGACACUGAGGCGCGAAAGCGUGGGGAGCAAACAGG